AUUGAACGCUGGCGGCAUGCCUUACACAUGCAAGUCGAACGGUAACAGGUCUACGGAUGCUGACGAGUGGCGAACGGGUGAGUAAUACAUCGGAAUGUGCCUAGUAGUGGGGGAUAACUACUCGAAAGAGUGGCUAAUACCGCAUGAGAUCUACGGAUGAAAGCAGGGGAUCGCAAGACCUUGUGCUACUAGAGCGGCCGAUGGCAGAUUAGGUAGUUGGUGGGAUAAAAGCUUACCAAGCCGACGAUCUGUAGCUGGUCUGAGAGGACGAUCAGCCACACUGGGACUGAGAAACGGCCCAGACUCCUACGGGAGGCAGCAGUGGGGAAUUUUGGACAAUGGGCGAAAGCCUGAUCCAGCAAUGCCGCGUGCAGGAUGAAGGCCUUCGGGUUGUAAACUGCUUUUGUACGGAACGAAAAGCCCCGGGUUAAUACCCUGGGGUCAUGACGGUACCGUAAGAAUAAGCACCGGCUAACUACGUGCCAGCCGCCGCCGUAA
rnacentral:rRNA from 1 species